GGCAGACGGGUGAGUAACGCGUGGGAAGCUACCUUGUGGUAGGGGACAACAGUUGGAAACGACUGCUAAUACCCUAUGAGCCCUAUGGGGGAAAGAUUUAUCGCCAUGAGAUGUGCCCGCGUUAGAUUAGCUAGUUGGUAAGGUAAUGGCUUACCAAGGCGACGAUCUAUAGCUGGUCUGAGAGGAUGAUCAGCCACACUGGGACUGAGACACGGCCCAGACUCCUACGGGAGGCAGCAGUGGGGAAUAUUGGACAAUGGGGGCAACCCUGAUCCAGCCAUGCCGCGUGUGUGAUGACGGCCUUAGGGUUGUAAAGCACUUUCAGCAGUGAAGAUAAUGACAUUAACUGCAGAAGAAGCCCCGGCUAACUUCGUGCCAGCAGCCGCGGUAAUACGAAGGGGGCUAGCGUUGUUCGGAAUCACUGGGCGUAAAGAGUACGUAGGCGGACUGAUAAGUUAGGGGUGAAAUCCCAAGGCUCAACCUUGGAACUGCCUUUGAUACUGUCAGUCUUGAGAUCGAGAGAGGUGAGUGGAACUCCGAGUGUAGAGGUG
rnacentral:rRNA from 1 species